rnacentral:rRNA from 1 species
CGCCUCUUGAUUUUUUCAUAAGAGGUCAAGCCUGCCCAAUGACACUAGUUUAAUGGCCGCGGUAUUUUGACCGUGCGAAGGUAGCGUGAUCACUUGUCUUUUAAAUGAAGACCCGUACGAAUGGUCUCACGAGGGCUAAACUGUCUCCUCCCUUUGGUCAAUGAAAUUGAUCCCCCCGUGCAGAAGCGGGGAUAUACACAUUAGACGAGAAGACCCUGUGGAGCUUGAAAACAACACAUACCUCAAGUUAAUCCAGUAACUUAAACUAUAAACCUAUUGAGUCCUAUGUAAUUUUUUGGUUGGGGCGACCCUGGGGAAAACGAAACCCCCACGUGGACAGGGGGCACUCUUUUACAUUGGACCCUACCCCUCGAAACCAGAAAGUCACUUCUAAUUCACAGAACCUCUGACCCCUAGGAUCCGGUAUGACCGACCAACGAACCUAGUUACCCCAGGGAUAACAGCGCAAUCCCCUCCUAGAGCCCCUAUCGACGAGGGGGUUUACGACCU